GAUGAACGCUGGCGGCGUGCCUAAUACAUGCAAGUCGAGCGAACAGACGAGAAGCUUGUUCCUCUGACGUUAGCGGCGGACGGGUGAGUAACACGUGGAUAACCUACUUAUUUGACUGGGGUAAAUUCGGGAAACCGGAGACACUACUGGCUCAUAUAUUGAACGGCAUGGUUCAGUAGUGCAUGACGGUUUUGCUGUCACAUUUAGAUGGAUCCGGGUCGCAUUAGCUAGUUGGUAAGGUAACGGCUUACCAAGGCGACGAUGCGUAGCUGACCUGAGAGGGUGAUCAGCCACACUGGAACUGAGACACGGUCCAGACUCCUACGGGAGGCAGCAGUAGGGAAUCUUCCACAAUGGGCGAAAGCCUGACGGAGCAACGCCGCGUGAGUGAUGAAGGUCUUCGGAUCGUAAAACUCUGUUAUUAGGGAAGAACAAAAGUAUAUUUAACUAUGCACGUCCUGACGGUACCUAAUCAGAAAGCCACGGCUAACUACGUG
rnacentral:rRNA from 1 species